CCUACGGGUGGCUGCAGUGGGGAAUAUUGGACAAUGGGCGAAAGCCUGAUCCAGCAACGCCGCGUGAGGGAUGACGGCCUUCGGGUUGUAAACCUCUUUCAGUACCGACGAAGCGCCGAUGAAGGUGGUGACGGUAGGUACAGAAGAAGGACCGGCCAACUACGUGCCAGCAGCCGCGGUAAUACGUAGGGUCCGAGCGUUGUCCGGAAUUAUUGGGCGUAAAGGGCUCGUAGGCGGUUUGUCGCGUCGGGAGUGAAAACUUACAGCUUAACUGU
rnacentral:rRNA from 1 species